rnacentral:lncRNA from 1 species
CGAGAAGGGUCACGCACAGGAUUGCGACCUCGAUUGGAACGCGCUUCCCGAAAGGGGCAUGCGCAGAGAGGUCGUAGUCGCGUCUGAGGUGGCGGGACAGGCUUCAUUGGGACAGCCCUAACCCAGCUGCUGAAUGCCAGAGGCCACGAAGUGACGUUGGUCUCCCGAAAGCCCGGGCCCGGCCGGAUCACGUGGGAUGAGCUCGCUGCAUCGGGGCUGCCGAGCUGCGAUGCCGCCGUCAACCUGGCCGGAGAGAACAUCCUCAACCCUCUCCGAAGGUCAGCCCGGGCCCUAAAGCUGAUACCCACUAGAGCACAGGGAGGACAGUGCCCCACUGAUGAGAACCUGUGAGCUAUGGAUGGAAUGAAACCUUCCAAAAAGAGGUAAUCGGCAGCCGCCUAGAGACCACCCAAUUGCUGGCUAAAGCCAUCACCAAAGCCCCACAACCCCCCAAGGCCUGGGUCUUAGUCACAGGUGUAGCUUACUACCAGCCCAGUCUGACUGCGGAGUAUGAUGAAGACAGCCCAGGAGGGGACUUUGACUUUUUCUCCAACCUCGUAACCAAAUGGGAAGCUGCAGCCAGGCUUCCUGGAGAUUCUACACGCCAGGUGGUGGUGCGCUCAGGCCACCAAUUCUUCCCCUGGAUACACAUCGGGGACCUGGCAGGAAUCCUGACCCAUGCCCUUGAAGCAAACCACGUGCACGGGGUCCUGAAUGGAGUGGCUCCAUCCUCCGCCACUAAUGCUGAGUUUGCCCAGACCUUGGGUGCUGCCCUGGGCCGCCGAGCCUUCAUCCCUCUCCCCAGCGCUGUGGUGCAAGCUGUCUUUGGGCGACAGCGUGCCAUCAUGCUGCUGGAGGGCCAGAAGGUGAUCCCACAGCGAACACUGGCCACUGGCUACCAGUAUUCCUUCCCAGAGCUAGGGGCUGCCUUA